CCGUCGCUAGCUCAGUUGGUAGAGUGGUGGACUGUAGAUCCAUAGGUCGCUGGUUCGAAUCCGGCUCGACGGA
rnacentral:tRNA from 1 species